UACGUGGGGGCCGAGCGUUGUCCGGAGUUACUGGGCGUAAAGGGCGCGCAGGCGGCGGCGUGGGUCCGGCGUGAAAGCCCCCGGCUCAACCGGGGGAACGUCGUCGGGGACCGCGCCGCUUGAGGGCGGCAGGGGCCGGUGGAAUGCCUGGUGUAGUGGUGAAAUGCGUAGAGAUCAGGCGGAACGACCCGUGGCGAAGGCGGC
rnacentral:rRNA from 1 species